GGGCACCAGGUGGACACGUGGGCAGAGGUGGCUGUGGCUGGGUGUGCCGAGGGGCAGGUGGUAACUGGGUAGGUUGCACGAAACGAGUCCCCGUCCUCGGGAAGUGGACACUCAAACUGGGGGAGGCCGAACCCCAACAGGAGGGGAAAUCGGGCAGAGGGCAGUGACAUUCGGGCUGAGACCUGAGUGAGGAGGUCAAGUCCAGGCAGGCAGUCCUGGGGCCGGCGGCCGUGUGGGACCCGGGGGGACGGGGGUCCGGUGUGGGGAUGUGAGGCCACCGGUCAGCAUCCUGGCAGCACUCAGCUCACGCCAGGCUUCCAGGAGCUUCUGCCAUCCCUCAGGCCUUGGGGGUCCUUGACUGUGGCUGCCCCUCUCUCUGCCCUCGGCCCGCUCCCUCGUGCCCGCUCAUGGCCCCCGCCCAGGACGCCUUCUGUGCCACCUGCCAGCUCGGCCGGCACCUGUCAGAGGCAUCCCUGGACCCGCAGCUCUUGGGGGAGUCCACGGGGGGACGCUGCUCACACGGCUGUGAAGCCUCUUCUGGAAAACCCUCUCAGCUAAGGUCACUUUUAUCAACCGAGGCCCGGGUUGAGCCCUGGGUGGGGGCACAUCAGACCCGCUCAGCGGCUUCUUGGAAAGGGAUGGAGGUGCCACUACGUGAAAGCCGGGGCGUCCCAUAAAAAUGUAGGUUUGUUGGAGGUGAGCUGCUGCCCGGGGACUCUGCCAGGGCCCCCACGCAUCCUGGAUUCUCUCAGUGGUCUGUGGUUGUUUCUGGAACACCCUCCCCACAGGGCCUCUGGUGCCUGCAGCCACAGCACCCCCUCCCUUCCCGGGACCCCGUUCCGUCCCCGCGCCCACCUGCGGGCCUGGAGGAACCGCUUCACCAGCGUCAUCUUGCUCUGCAGCUGUGCCAGCUUCGUCUCCUGGUCCAGUGGGCUCUUGGCCUUGGCCUUGGACAGGCACUUGUAGGCCUCGGUCAGCGCCCCGUGGGCCUUGUCGUAGUUCUGGUACUCGUCGAUCUCCACCUGCGUGGACCUGCCCAUCAGGACCAGGGCCCCUGCCCACCCCCUGCCCACCCCCAGGAGGCCUGUACCUGGGCGCAGGCGUCGUAGAAGCUGGCCAGGAGGUCCAGGGCGCGGCCCUUGGUGUAGAAGCUGAUGACGUUCCUCAUGAUCUCAGGCUCCUUCCGCCAGUCCAGCGACUGCAGGUAGUUAGCAGCCAUGAUGUAGAUCUCCUUCUGCCGAGAGACUCCCGCGAAAAACACGAUUUUCUCCGUGUCCCCAGACUUCAGCAGGGCGCGCAUGGCCUAGUCAGAGAGGUCGGGGCUGGGGUCAGCGCAGGGCAGGAAGCUUGAGGUCGAGGUCCUCCGAGUCGGCUGUGGAGCUCUGAGGUGAGCUCCCUGCCUGGGCCUGAGACUGCACUUGGGAGAUACACGGCUUCCGGGGAAGGGACGGCUCCUCCACCUCGGGCCCCACCACGCCUCCAGGCCCCAUGGGCAGAGCCUGUCCCUGUUUGGCUGUAACACCGAGGCAGCCGUCGAGAUUGCACAGUGGACUUGUCAUUUCUAAAUGACUAUGCAACGGGCACCGAGGUUUGGCUGCUGCGACGAGCAGCCCCAGGCCCAGCUCAGCCUUGGGCAACAUCUCCAGGCCGCGGAGGCCUACACUCACCUUCAGCUUGUUCCCGGCCUGCGUGUACUUCUUGGUCGCCAGGUGGUAGUUGCCCUGACGCAUGCAGCAGCUGGCGAUCUGCUCCAGCAGCUCCCGCCGGGCCUCCUCCGUCAGGGCCCCCGAGUCCUUGGGCACAGUCAUCCUCUCCGCCAUCUCCUCAGUGAUUGUCAUGUUCUGCUCCAGGCAGAGCUGCAAGGCCUCGUGGUACUGCAGGGACCAGAGGCAGCACGGAGGGGCUGUUGCAGGGGCUGCAGCACCUUGGCCCAUGGCCGGGCAGAAGAGGAGGGGCAAGGAUGCAGCACCCCCACAGGCUGCAAGGACCCAAGACUCGCGGACACUGCUUUCCCUCCCACCACCGUCGUUCCAGGACAGAAUGAUGGACACGUGGGUCCCCAAAGUGUGUUACGUUUGUGGUGGGAGACCAAGGAAAGCACGCAGAGCUGCCACGUAACUAACUGCUGCUUGGGAUGCCGCUGAGCGCCACACAGCUGAUGGGCAAACUUGUCCUGCAUGCACGGAGCACAGCCCUGAGCGAAUGCCCUGUGCAGGCGGAUGCUUCUGGAACAGAAUAAAGCGUCCCUUCUCCAAGAUGGCACGAGAUGCGGCGUGGCCCCUGCCCGGGCUGCCCUUCCUCCUCACACAAGGUCUCCGAUCUCCGGAACUGACUGAUGCCGGAGGAGAGCCGGGCUUUACCUUUGGUUUCUGUGCUGGUUUCUAUCUAUUAUGUCCCCCAGAAAAAGCCAUAUUCUUUGGUGCAGUUUUGUGGGGCAGAUGCAUUAGUGUGUGGAUUGGGUUGGAACCUAUCGGUUCAGUAUUUCCAUGGAGGCGUGGCCCCGCCCAUUCAGCGUGGGCCUUGAUCAGUUUACUGGAGCACUACAUAAGCUCACACAGGAGGAGCUCACGGCUAGCUGUAGCUAAGACAGACAUUUUGAAGACAGCUUUUGGAAGCUGAUGCAGACAUUUUGGAGAACACCAUUUUGAAAUGCAAUCUGGGAGCAAGCAGACUCCAGCCGCGUGCCUUCCCAGCUAA